rnacentral:misc_RNA from 1 species
UCCUGGUUAUCCCAGGCAGUUCCCUUAGGGUGCUUUCCUUGCGGAUUAGCAACUAAGGGUAAGGGUUGCGCUCGUUGCGGGACUUAACCCAACACCUCACGGCACGAGCUGACGACAGCCAUGCACCACCUGCGCAGAAGUCCCUUGCGGGAGGUUUUGGCUUUCACCAAAAUUUCCUCUGCAUGUCAAACCCAGGUAAGGUUCUUCGCGUUGCCUCGAAUUAAACCACACGCUCCGCUGCUUGUGCGGGCCCCCGCCUAUUCCUUUGAGUUUUAGCCUUGCGGCCGUACUCCCCAGGCGGGAUGCUUAACGCGUUAGCUACGACACCUCCGGGGUCAAUACCGGAAACAUCUAGCAUCCAUCGUUUACGGCGUGGACUAC